CGCGUAGGUGGUAGUGCAAGUCUGGGGUGGAAUCUUAGGGCUUAACCCUAAAACUGCCUUGGAAACUGCAUUACUUGAGUCAGUGAGGGGAGGGUAGAAUUCCUGGUGUAGCGGUGAAAUGCGUAGAUAUCAGGAGGAAGGCCUGUGGCGAAGGCGGCCCUCUGGCGCUGAACUGACACUGAGGCGCGAAAGCGUGGGUAGCAAACAGGAUUAGAUACCCUGGUAGUCCACGCCCUAAACGGUGGGUACUAGGUGUAGGGCUCGUAAGGGUUCUGUGCCGAAGGGAAACCAUUAAGUGCCCCGCCUGGGGAGUACGGCCGCAAGGUUGAA
rnacentral:rRNA from 1 species